rnacentral:rRNA from 1 species
GCAAAGGGGGUAUGGUGCGUAUCUUGAAUGUCAAAACGACUCUCGGCAACGGAUAUCUCGGCUCUCGCAUCGAUGAAGAACGUAGCGAAAUGCG